ACCUGGCUUAUCCCUAUGUCUCAAAAAAACCUAGCUUAUCCCUAACUUCCCGCUGCAGGAGGCACAGCCUAUGCGUGGCAGCCAUCCGGCGGUGCCAUGGCCGGAUGGCCGACGCCUGGCUCUACAGGGGCGUCUGGGAGGGGAUAACGGUGUCUCCCUCGACCCUAAACGAACCCUAGCCACCCCCCUCCUUAUGCCCCCCUCGCUUGAACUCGAGCUCGACCGAACCGCAACCGUCAUGGCCGACCUCGCCCGUAUGCUCUUCGUCGUCCCUGCGCCCUAGGAGUUGUCCAUGAGCUCCGUCGUCGAAUGCUACGCCCCCUACGCCAACGAACACGAGCCGGCCUCCACUACAGAGCCAGAUCACCGUCUUCUUCAACUUUCGGCCGCCGUGAUGUCGUCGUCACCACUGCAUCCCCGGCUUCCUCGAUCUCACCUACAGCUUCCCCAUGUUGGAGCCCAGGAGCCAGACGCCAUCGACGAUGAUGCCUACUACACCGAAGGUGCCUACUACUACGUGCAGGCCACCGCCGACGACGACCAGGAGUAGUUUAGGAGGAUCGCGGGCACGAGACCUGCGCCUCUUUUAAUCUGUAUCCUAGUUUGUGCUAGCCAUCUUAUGGCAACUUGUUUAACUUAUGUCUGUACUCAGAUAGUAUUGCUUCCA